GAUGAAGAACGCAGUGAAAUGCGAUAAGUAAUGUGAAUUGCAGAAUUCAGUGAAUCAUCGAAUCUUUGAACGCACAUUGCGCCCGCUAGUAUUCUGGCGGGCAUGCCUGUCCGAGCGUCAUUUCAACCCUCAAGCCCCCGGGCUUGGUGUUGGGGAUCGGCGAGCCUCCGCGCUCGCCGUCCCCUAAAUCUAGUGGCGGUCUCGCUGUAGCUUCCUCUGCGUAGUAGCACACCUCGCACUGGGAAACAGCGCGGCCACGCCGUUAAACCCCCAACUUCUGAACGUUUGACCUCGGAUCAGGUAGGAAUACCCGCUGAACUUAAGCAUAUCAAUAAGCGGAGGA
rnacentral:misc_RNA from 1 species